rnacentral:rRNA from 1 species
GAUGAACGCUGGCGGCGUGCCUAAUACAUGCAAGUCGAGCGAACAGACGAGGAACUUGCUCCUCUGACGUUAGCGGCGGACGGGUGAGUAAAACGUGGAUAACCUACCUAUAAGACUGGGAUAACUUCGGGAAACCGGAGCUAUUACCGGAUAAUAUAUUGAACCGCAUGGUUCAAUAGUGAAAGACGGUGUUGCUGUCACUUAUAGAUUGAUCCGGGCCGCAUUAGCUAGUUGGUAAGGUAACGGCUUACCAAGGCAACGAUGGGUAGCCGACCUGAGAGGGGAAUGGGCAAAACUGGACCGGGACAACGCCCAAGACUCCUACGGGGGGCAGCAGGAGGAAAUCUUCGGAAAUGACCGAAGUCUGAACGGGGAACGCCGGGGUGAUGGAGGAGGGUCUCCGGAUCUAAAGAUUCUGUUAUUAGGGAGAAAGGAAUUUGUAAGAAAAGAUACACGGCUUGACGGUACCUAAUCAGAAAGCCACGGCUAACUACGUG